CCUACGGGUGGCAGCAGUGGGGAAUAUUGCACAAUGGGGGAAACCCUGACGCAGCGACGCCGCGUGAGUGAAGAAGUAUUUCGGUAUGUAAAGCUCUAUCAGUAGGGAAGAAAAUGCCGGUAACUGAUUAAGAAGCUCCGGACAACAACGUGCCAGCAGCCGCGGUAAUACGUAGGGGGCAAGCGUUAUCCGGAUUUACUGGGUGAAAAGGGAGCGUAGACGGGAUCACAAGUCUGGAGUGAAAUGCCGGGGCUUAACCCCGGAACUGCUUUGGAAACUGUGCAGCUAGAGUGCAGAAGAGGUAAGUGGAAUUCCUAGUGUAGCGGUGAAAUGCGUAGAUAUUAGGAGGAACACCAGUGGCGAAGGCGGCUUACUGGACUGUAACUGACGUUGAUGCUCGAAAGCGUGGGGAGCAAACAGGAUUAGAUACCCCUGUAGUC
rnacentral:rRNA from 1 species